rnacentral:rRNA from 9 species
GAGACCUCAGGUCAGGCGGGGCUACCCGCUGAAUUUAAGCAUA